rnacentral:misc_RNA from 1 species
GAACCAAUUCUUUGCUUUCACUCUUGAACAAUCUUGUAUAAGUUUUAUAAGCAAGAUUGGUGAUCCAUGUGGAUUAUGUAAUUUGUUUCUUCGUUUAGCUAUUUUGAUUUUUGAUAGAAGCUGGGGCCCUGUUGCAGGUGUGGCAAUAAUUUAAGCACAUUCAUCACUCAUGAUUUGAUGUUACAUUCGUGGACUUUGUAUAUGAUUGACAACCACCACAAAUGAUAAAAGUAGGUCAUGGUAAGAGCUGGAGUUUGGUGUCAAUUCUAAUGUGCUCUUGGAUAAAGCAGGCAGGUACAAGCCUUUAAGCAAAGGCUUAUCUGAUACCUUGAAAGUUGCAAGCCUUUUUGUUCUUGUGGGUUGCCUUUUAGCGAGGUUCCAUCAAUUCAUGAGUGCUCACAAGUCAUAGCCAUGGGAUAGUAUCUAUCGAACCAUGAAGUGUAUCUCACUUGAAUGAUGUUCAUCUCAUGAUUGUCAAUAUGUGAGUAUUUU